rnacentral:lncRNA from 1 species
AGACCGGGACCGGGAGAGGGAGGGAGGGAACGGGAGGAGGCGGAGACGGGAGAGGGAGGGAGGAGGGAGGAGGGAGGAGACCGGGACCGGGAGAGGGAGGGAGGGAGGAGGCUAGGGUUUCGCACUUAAACCCGAAAAAUUUAGUCGGCUAUACAUCAAUUCGUCGGCUAAACCUUCUAAAUUCGUCGGCUAAAACUUUGAAAUUCGUCGGCUAAACUUUAUAAAUUCGUCGGCUAAACCUUUGAAAUUCGUCGGCUAACCUUUGAAAUUCGUCGGCUAAAAGUAUUUUUAUACAUUUGGCACAUUGUGAUUGUAAUGAUCAAACUUGAGAAAAAUAAAUCCGACCGUCAGAUUUGACCAUCAUGAUAAAAUACAUGUAUGGGAAAAAAUUCAACUUGAUCCGACAAGAAUAAGGGCUCGAUCCGGACGGUCAAUCUCGUAAGUCAAACCCCUAAAAGCACGGAAAAGGUCGUUCGACCAUCUAAAUUACGUAUUUUGGCCGGACCUCCAACUGAAAAUAGUUUUAAAUCGAUGACACGCAACAAGUCGUAUAAAAAUUUUACGCAAAAUAACCACCGAAUAUAGGGCUACUCAUAGGGGGAAAGAAUGAAAAAUUGCAUUGACCGCAACUAUCGGCACCGAAUAUUUACCGGAAUAGUGUGAUUUUUCAACCGUAGAUGUAUUUCAACAUUCUCGUCAUAUCUUAUUUCAUGACUUUUUGGCGUUUGAAGGUUUUACGUAUAGUUUGUUUUUGAAACGGAACAUUUACAUAACACUUGGUAAACAAGUUAUACAACAUUAGUAUGCAUGUUGUGAUUGUGAUGAUCAAACUUGAGAAAAAUAAAUCCGACCGUUAGAUCUGACCAUCAUGACAAAAUACAUGUAUGGGAAAAAAUUCAACUUGAUCCGACAAGAAUAGGGGCUCGAUCCGGACGGUCAAUCUCGUAAGUCCAACCCCUAAACGCACGGAAAAGGUCGUUCGACCGUCUAAAUUACGUAUUUUGGCCAGACCUCCAAAUGAAAAUAGUUUCAAACCGAUGAGACGCAAGAAGUAGUCUAAAAAUUUUACGGAAAAUAACAACUGAAGAUAGGGCUAUAGUAGGUAAUAGAAAAAUUUUAGAGUUUAGCCGACGAAUACCCUAACGUAUUCGUCGGCUAUANNNNN